GAUCAACAAGCAAAUCUGGCUGACAUUCUGAUGCUGGAGAAUCAAAUCCACAAGGAAGUUUUUAAUGUGAAAUGGGGUAUCUUCACAGCUAAAAGCAAACACCAGGGGUGACAACCUGCCAGCACAUCUUAAUCAGCGGCCACGGCCGAUAACCAAUCAUGUCCUCAAUGUUGUCAUAGAAACGGUCCGCACCUUGACCACCAGAGGAAAGGACAGAGAAAGACAGAGGAACACAUUGUGAUGUUAAAUACAGCCUGGGCAAAUUCAUCCCUGGUGUAAAUCUGCUGAAGUCAACAGAGUAUCACAAACAUAACAUAAGAACAGCCAUAC